UGACGACCGGCGCACGGGUGCGUAACGCGUAUAGAACCUACCUUUUACUGAGGGAUAGCCUUUAGAAAUGAAGAUUAAUACCUCAUAAUUAUUUAGAUAUGGCAUCAUGUUUAAAUGAAAGAUUUAUUGGUAAAAGAUGGCUAUGCGUCCUAUUAGUUAGUUGGUGAGGUAACGGCUCACCAAGACAGCGAUAGGUAGGGGUCCUGAGAGGGAGAUCCCCCACACUGGUACUGAGACACGGACCAGACUCC
rnacentral:rRNA from 1 species